UGAAGACCUUAUGUGUUUUGGCGCCCAUACCGGACGGGGUAUGGGGACGACCCGUUUCACCCUUAUACCGGACGGGGUAUGGAGGUUUAUCCAUACCGGACGGGGUAUGGGGACGGCCCUGGAAUCAGGUUAUUAAUGUUAAUGGUUCAUGUGUAGCGGGGACCCCCUAUAGAUCCCCAUGGAUACUAGUAGACUGGUAAAAGAGGAAAAUAUGUUGUUUAAUGAUUGAAAUGCAAAGGCAUGGUAAGUGUUAUGUUAUAAAGUCUAUAUGAUUUCAUGAUGAUGAUAAUGUUAUUGCUUUCAUAUGUUGUUUUCAUGGAUCUCACCGAAGGAAGCGGAUAGUAAAAGUUUUUAUGUUAAUAAACGAGUUUGUUAUAAAUUAUGCUCCAUUGGUCAUUUUUGUUUUCUACCCACCUUUACUUCCAUGGCGGUGAGAUAGUGUGAUGUCUUUACUGGGCUGGUGUAGCUCAUUCUUUAUUUA
rnacentral:lncRNA from 1 species